UCGAAGUUGUAUCCACAGAAAGUUGUGUUCUUGUUUAGCGGCAUGUUCCACAUUUCCUCCGGUUCUUUUUUCUUCUGUUGUAAGGUAGAAUAAGGAAAGAAGGUAAGUGUACCGUGUGAGUUGCUAUGAAUUAUUGGUGUGGUGCAUAUUUUUUUUUAUCUAUAUGUGUUUAGGGGGGUAGAGGGGAUUGUGAGUGCCUUACCUCUCACUUGCUCUUCAAAGGAUUCUUUUACUACAUAAGGAUCCUCAAAAAAGGUCUGUUAUGUAAAGUUGGAAAUUAUUAGAAUUAAGUGGAGUUAGCUAUAUAAUAAUGAGAUAC
rnacentral:lncRNA from 1 species